rnacentral:rRNA from 1 species
AGAUUGAACGCUGGCGGCAUGCUUUACACAUGCAAGUCGAACGGUAACAGGCCGCAAGGUGCUGACGAGUGGCGAGCGGGUGAGUAAUGCAUCGGAACGUGCCCAGUCGUGGGGGAUAACGCAGCGAAAGCUGUGCUAAUACCGCAUACGAUCUAUGGAUGAAAGGCGGGGGACCGAAAGGCCUCGCGCGAUUGGAGCGGCCGAUGUCGGAUUAACUAGUUGGUGGGGUAAAGGCCCACCAAGGCGACGAUCUGUAGCUGGUCUGAGAGGACGACCUGCCACACUGGAACUGAGACACGGUCCAGACU